UCCUUGCUGUGGAAGGAGGAACCAGAUCUCAGCCCUACCUCUGCCCAUUGCUCGGUGUGAGAGCACCACGUGAUCAAAGCCCAGAGAUGUGAGAUGGCUCCACCCCUGGCUGCCCUCUGCAGCUGAUCCCGAGCACCUGGUGGCCUCUUUUGUGGCUGCCCUUGUGUGCCGUGUCGGAGCCCUGCAGAGCCGCAGCUGCCUGGGCUCCUGGGGAGAGCGGGGGAAGGAGAGGCUGGGCUCCAACACACGUGGGCCAGGUCUGCGUCCCCUCGAGGGUCCCCGGAGGGAUGGUGAGAAUGGACGGGGUCAGGCACGAGUACAGAGAACAUGACGAGAGGGAGACAGAGAGACAGAGAGGAGCAGACAGAAACAAAGACCCUAAGGAAGAGGAGGCCUGGAGAGAUUUCUGUGAUUUGGGAUGUCAUACUGACGGAUCGUCACUGUCCCAAGUACAAGGUGACAAGACAUCAAACAGCCUCAAGGUUGCCUCAAGACAGUCAAGUCUGUAAAUCGGUCCAGAGUUACGUAGUGGAGAAUGUCACUGGCAAAUAUCAGAUGAGGAAUCUCCCAAGUUCUCAUUUCCCCCCCAGAAAUAUCAUGAAAAACUAAACUAAACUCAUCAGCGGUCAAAAACCAACUUUGUAGAAACUCUGGGAAACAGCCAGAGAUUUACAGCAAGAACCAAAUGUGCAAUCAAGGAAAAAGCUGUCUUCCAAAUGGAAUGAAAGUUGUUGAAUUUUUGCUCUUCUUGGCUCCAUCUCCCUUUCCCUCAGAGUACUGGUGUGGAGCAGACAGCAUAGAGUUCCCAAGUACCCACCUUAACUGAGGGAAGCUAAGCAGCCCUACUUGGAAAUCAUUGUGUACAUCUGUGCUAAGCUGUCUGGGGGACACCUGAAAUAUUGAUGUAAAGCAGUAGCCUCUGUUCUGUGUAACUCACUAUGUAGAUGGGAAGAUCAGCAGACACUACUGGUAAAAGCCACAAGGCAACCACAAGCCAGAGAUAUCUGGGGAGAGAGAUUCCAGGUGGAGACAUACAAUAGACCAUCUAAGAUCUGAAGAGAAGCUGAGGUUAGACCCUAGGAAAUUAGGUCAUUUAAAACUAGUCAUGUAUACCUGGGAAGUUGGAAACUCAGGCAAGAUGGAUGUUUAGAACAAUUCUGAGAAUACCUUAAGCCAUCAGUCUUGGGCUGAGCCCAAGACUCAAAGAAAGUCUGUGUAGUUGUGUGCCUCCAGCACAGAGCCAGCCUACAAAAACUAAGAGAGAUGGAUGGUCCCUCCUUUUGGUUUUAUAUUUUGGAUGCUGUAUGUUUGUUGGUUUUGCCCCUUGCCAUUUGGGAAUCUAAUGAAUAGCAUGAAAAGGCAUAGUCUUUGCAAAAAUGGUCUGGAAAAGUUUCAAAACAAAUGUUUAACUAUAACCUUCAACAACAACAAAGAGUAAGAAAGAAAGAGACAAAAGAGAAAACUAGAAAAUUUUAACAAAUUUUAUUUUCAGAGUACUGCAUUGAAAUAAUCAAAUACCCAAUUAAAAAAUCACAAGGCAUUCAAAGAAGCAGGACCAUAUGGUUCAUUCAAAGGAAUAUUAAAUGAUGGAAGCUGUCCUUGAAGAAACCUUGACAUCAGAAUCACUAUACAACCACUCUAAAACUAUAGUCUUAAUAUGCUUAAAGAGCUAAAAGAAAACAUAGGCAAAGAACUAAAUUAAAUCAGGAAAAAUAAUAUAUGAACACAAUGAAACUAUCAAUAAAGAUAUUGUUGAUCUUUACAAAAAUUACAAAAAUAGAAUCAAACAAAUUCUGGAGUUGAAAAGUGCAAUGACUAAAAUGAAAAUUCACCAGAAGACUGCAACAAGAGAGUAAAGAAGGCAGAAGAAAGAAUAGUAAACCAGAAGAUUAGAUAAACCAAAGUGUUGAAUCUAAGAAAUAGGACAAAAAUGAAAAGUAAACAGCAUAAGAAACUUUUGGAACAUCAUUUAAUGGACCAAUUUAUGCAUUAAGGAACUUACAAAAGAUAAAAGUAAUGGUCCAAGAAUUAUUUGGAAAAAUAAUGGUUUAACACUUUUCAAAUGUGAAGAAAGACAUGAGUCUUCAAAUCCAAAAACUUUAAGAAGGAUCACCCAAGAGACUCAUAUGAAGACCCAUUGUGAGCAAGUGUCAAAAGAAAAAGACAAAAAGAAUCUCAAAAGUAGCAAGGGAAAAAUAACUUGUCACAUAUAUGGGAUCUUCAGUCAAAUUAUCAACUGAUUUUUCAUAAGAAGCCAUGGAGGGCAAAAUGUAAUUCUAUGGUAUUUAUUAAAUGGUCAAAGAAGAAAACUGUCAAAUGAGAAUUCUAAAUCUGGCAAAGCAUAGAAGAAAAUAAUUCUGUCUACAUAACCAGGUUAAUUGUACUGAAGCAGGGCUUUGAAAAUAUUGUUAUCCUAUUUAUGAUGUUUCAAUGGUUCUCCAUUGCCUACAAGAUAUCCCGCUCAGAGUGAAAGCUGACUAGCACAGGGCUUAACACAGAGGAGCUGAAACCCCAUCUUUGCCAAAACAUCAGGCUGCCUUUCUUUCUGGAAAGACUUACCUCAGAAGGUAAGGUACUGAACUGCUUAUAAUACACUCAGCUCUGGCCCAGAGAUAAAGAGAGAAAGCCAUGGAGAGGGCCACAGGCCUUGAGCUGGCCACUGGUACAAUCUAUACAAAUCCAGUAAACAGAGAGGCAGUCAAGGCCCGGACUGUUUCUCAGGCAGGGACCUCCCUGGGCCUGCACCCCUGAAAUCACCAGCCCUCUGUUCCAGGGACCCUAAAGCUGAGGGUAGCACAGUGCGGCUCUGGAGCAUGUACUGAUGCAGAGGUCUGAAGCCUGUGUCCAGGGCCAUGCUGGUCAUGCCCUAGCUGUGUGCUUCUUAGGGGAUCUCUUAGCAGCUCUGGGCUUCAGGCCUCUCUCUCACCUGUAGAAUAUGCACUGCUGCCUCCAAUAUUUCAAGUUCCCAGAUGUGUGCC
ensembl:lncRNA